AGUGAACGCUGGCGGUAGGCCUAACACAUGCAAGUCGAACGGCAGCACAGGAGAGCUUGCUCUCUGGGUGGCGAGUGGCGGACGGGUGAGGAAUACAUCGGAAUCUACCUUUUCGUGGGGGAUAACGUAGGGAAACUUACGCUAAUACCGCAUACGACCUUCGGGUGAAAGCAGGGGACCUUCGGGCCUUGCGCGGAUAGAUGAGCCGAUGCCGGAUUAGCUAGUUGGCGGGGUAAAGGCCCACCAAGGCGACGAUCCGUAGCUGGUCUGAGAGGAUGAUCAGCCACACUGGAACUACGACACGGUCCAGACUCCUACGGGAGGCAGCAGUGGGGAAUAUUGGACAAUGGGCGCAAGCCUGAUCCAGCCAUACCGCGUGGGUGAAGAAGGCCUUCGGGUUGUAAAGCCCUUUUGUUGGGAAAGAAAAGCAGCCAGUUAAUACCUGGUUGUUCUGACGGUACCCAAAGAAUAAGCACCGGCUAACUUCGUGCCAGCCGCCGCAGUAAAAC
rnacentral:rRNA from 1 species